UACGGGAGGCAGCAGUGGGGAAUAUUGCACAAUGGGCGCAAGCCUGAUGCAGCCAUGCCGCGUGUAUGAAAAAGGCCUUCGGGUUGUAAAGUACUUUCAGUCGUGAGGAAGGUGUUAAGGUUAAUAACCUUAGCAAUUGACGUUAGCGACAGAAGAAGCACCGGCUAACUCCGUGCCAGCAGCCGCGGUAAUACGGAGGGUGCGAGCGUUAAUCGGAAUUACUGGGCGUAAAGGGCACGCAGGCGGUUAAUUAAGUUGGAUGUGAAAUCCCCGGGCUUAACCUGGGAAUGGCAUUCAAGACUGGUUAGCUAGAGUCUUGUAGAGGGGGUAGAAUUCCAUGUGUAGCGGUGAAAUGCGUAGAGAUGUGGAGGAAUACCGGUGGCGAAGGCGGCCCCUCGGACAAAGACUGACGCUCAUGUGCGAAAGCGUGGGGAGCAAACAGGAUUAGAUACC
rnacentral:rRNA from 1 species